rnacentral:lncRNA from 1 species
ACUUAUGAUCUCAUUCCUUUUCUAACUUAAGCAUUACCAUUGAAAAUCUCAAUGGGCGUUUUUGUAUACAAUCGUACAAGAAUUUAAGUACCGUGGCACGGAAUCGUGUCGGAAACUUGCCGGCACGGUGUGUGACAAGCUGUGCCGAUACGUGUCGGUCAAAAAAAUUCUUAUGUGCCGACACAUAAUAGCAUGAAAUAUUUAUUUUUUUUAGCAUCAAAAUAUUUAACUAUUUAUUAUAUUUUUUUAUCACAUUUUUUGAAUUUUAUUAAUAAAAUUAUUUACUAAUUUAAAGAAUAGAGGGCUUUGAGUUAUGCCAUCGGUAUGGGGUCUGUAUCGUACCGGUAUUUUGUUGGCACGGUAUGGCAUGGUGGAUAUGGCCCGUGCCGACGAGCACUUACAACCUUGCAAUCAUAUCUACAUUUUGUACAUGAUAAAAGCAGAAAAGAGGGUAAUAUCACAUAAUAUAAACUACAUGUCGCAGGGGUGAAAGCACACCAGAUAACAUUCAUUUGAUUUUUCCUUCAAAUCUGGGUUCUGUGUCCGACUUAAAUCCACAUCCACAUCCCUGCUUGUUAAAUUUGACGAAAAUUCAACCACGACAAAAUUAAUUAAUUUAUCACUGAUGUUACAAACACUAUUUGAUGCUAACAUGACAAUUUUUGUUAAACUUAAUAAAUUUUCUGACGAUGGAAUUUAAUCAUAAUAUAUAAAUAAUAAAUGAUCAUUUCGGAGACUUUAUUCUUAUUCUUACUGCACGGCACCAAAGAGCUAUCAAAAGGAUUUUACUUGUACUUUUCCCAAUAGCCCCG